AGUCCAUGAGUCUUUUCACUAAACUAAGCUGCUGAGGCUUCAUACUGAGCACGCGUAUAUGAGAGUGGUAUCGAUCGUGGCUUUCAGUCUCCAGUAGGACAGUGAAUAAUACACUGAACUUUCAGGUAGUUUAAAUGUUCCUGUUUGCCACUUUCAGCAUUUGCUUCAGAAGCGUCUUUCUCCAAAGCCUUCCCUGGGCCCUCCUAGCAGUUCAGCGUGCCCAGUGAACCCCUGAAGGAAGCCAACCAGGAGGCACCACCAGAUUCCCUUCAUGCCGGCUCCCAUCUGGGCAGCGGCUCUACUCCGAGCCCUCCAACACGACUGUCCAGCAAAUUGCAAUCCAUGGGGUUGUUGAGACAUUUCAGUCUGGAUCAAAGUUGACACAUACUGCCAUUCAAACUCAGCAGACAUUAUCACAAAUCAGCACUGAUAAACGUAUGAGACAGGAAAGAUGUCCUCUACAGCCAGUAUCUCUCCCGAUCACAACAGCACCGCCAUCCUGAUCCUCCGGCCUUCGGAGAAUAUCUUCAUCACUUGACAGCUGAUGUCAGGUGGAUGAAUUUAGCGAGCCAGAACGAUGGCUGCAGCACCCACAGAGUAUAACCUAUAGUCUCCUGAAUUCUUAAUUUAGAUGUUAUUGCACUAUAACUUAUUAUUUACAUUUUAUACUCCACUCAACUACAUUUUGGAUGCAUUUGAUAUUUAGGUAAAUUCA